rnacentral:tRNA from 1 species
GAUGUAGCUCAGCUGCACAGCACCUGCCUGGUAAGCCUGAGGCCCUGAGUUCAAUUCCCAGCAUC